rnacentral:rRNA from 1 species
UACGUAGGGUGCAAGCGUUGUCCGGAAUUAUUGGGCGUAAAGAGCUCGUAGGCGGUUCGUCACGUCGGCUGUGAAAACCUGAGGCUCAACCUCAGGCCUGCAGUCGAUACGGGCGGACUUGAGUACUGCAGGGGAGACUGGAAUUCCUGGUGUAGCGGUGAAAUGCGCAGAUAUCAGGAGGAACACCAAUGGCGAAGGCAGCUCGCUGGGACGGUACUGACGCUGGAGGACGCGAAAAGCCGUGGGGGAGCAAACAGG